GGACUGUGGCUCAGCGGUAGAGCGCUUGCUUAGCGUGGGCGAGGCCCUGGGUUCGAUCCUCAGCACCA
rnacentral:tRNA from 1 species